GCGAACGACGUGCAAGGGGGCGCGGUAGUGCGUGGGGGGCGAGCGGUAUCCGGAAUUAUUGGGCGUAGAGUGCUCGUAGGCGGUGUGGGGCGUCGGGCGUGAAAGGCCGGGGCUUAACCCCGGAUCUGCGGUGGGUACGGGCAGACUAGAGUGCAGUAGGGGAGACUGGAAUUCCUGGUGUAGCGGUGGAAUGCGCAGAUAUCAGGAGGAACACCGAUGGCGAAGGCAGGUCUCUGGGCUGUAACUGACGCUGAGGAGCGAAAGCAUGGGGAGCGAACAGGAUUAGAUACCCUAGUAGUC
rnacentral:rRNA from 1 species